AUUUUAAGAUUUAUUAUUUAUUUUAGUUAAUUUUAGGUUUAAUAUAAAAGUUUAGAUUUUUAUUAAAAUUUUAUGAAACAAAUAAUAGUAAUUAUAGUUUAGAGUACUGUGAAGGAAAAUUAAAAUAUUUAUUAAAGAAAAAUUAAUUUUUUGUACCUUGUGUAUCAGGGUUUAUUAAAAUAAUUUAAAAAUUUAUAUUUCUCGAAUUUAAAAGAGCUAAAUAAGUAUAUAUAUUAAUGUAAAAUAAUUAUUUAAAAUAUUUAUUUAGUAAUGAAACGUUAGUCGUUUUUAAAUAUAUCUAGUUUUUUAAGAAAUAAAUUUAAUUUAGUUAUUAUUUAAAUAUUAGUAUAAAUUUAUAUUUUAAUAUUAAUAAUAUUAAAUAUUUUAGGGGAUAAGCUUUAAAAUAAAUAAUUAUAAGUAAAAUUUAAGGUUAAAUAAAUAAUAGGAUUAGAAUUUUCUAUUUAUAGAAAAAUGUUGUAAUUGAUUGUUUUUAUUUAUUAUUUAGUUUUAUUUUAAAUUUUUUAUUAAAAUGUUGGUUUUAUUUUAUGUUAUUAUGAAAUAAUGAUAGAAUAAGUAUAAUAUAAUUUAAUUUUAAAUUAAAUAUUUAAGUUAAAAUUAAGGAACUCGGCAAACUAUUUUUCACCUGUUUAUUAAAAACAUGUCCUUUUGAUAAUAAUUUAAGGUCUGAUCUGCCCAAUGAGUGUUUAAAUGGCCGCAGUAUUUUGACUGUGCAAAGGUAGCAUAAUCAUUAGUUUUUUAAUUGAAAGCUGGAAUGAACGAUUUGAUGAGAAAAUGACUGUCUCAAUUUUAAUUUUUUAGAAUUUUAUUUUUUAGUAAAAAAGCUAAAAUUUUAUAAAAAGACGAGAAGACCCUAUAGAGUUUAUAUAUAAGUAAUUUUAAGUUUUGUGAAGAAUUUCUUUUAUUUUAAGUUAAUUAUGUUUUAUUGGGGUGAUAAAAAAAUUAGAUAAACUUUUUUUUAUUUUUACAUUAAUUUAUGAUUAAUUGAUCCUAUUUUUAGAUUAAGAGAAAAAAUUACCUUAGGGAUAACAGCGUAAUCUUUUUAAAGAGUUCAAAUCGAAAUGAAGGAUUGCGACCUCGAUGUUGGAUUAAAAUUAAAUUUUGGUGUAGAAGCUAAUAUUUUAGGUCUGUUCGACCUUUGAAAUUUUACAUGAUCUGAGUUUAAACCGGCGUGAGCCAGGUUGGUUUCUAUCUUUUAUUUUUUAAAGUAUUUUAGUACGAAAGGACCAGAUAUUUAAAUAAUAUUUUAUGUAUUGAAUUUAAUU
rnacentral:rRNA from 1 species